rnacentral:sRNA from 1 species
AAGUUACAAAAACGCACUCUUUUUGCAUAAUGAAGUGCCAGGAAUCAAGAUGUCAGAUGAAAUUUUACAACAAUUUGAAGCAGUUAAAGAUGAUAAAG